GGGUUGUGAGGUUAAGCGACUAAGCGUACACGGUGGAUGCCCUGGCAGUCAGAGGCGAUGAAGGGCGUGCUAAUCUGCGAUAAGCGCCGGUAAGGUGAUAUGAACCGUUAUAACCGGCGAUACCCGAAUGGGGAAACCCAGUGUGAYUCGUCACACUAUCAUUAACUGAAUCCAUAGGUUAAUGAGGCGAACCGGGGGAACUGAAACAUCUAAGUACCCCGAGGAAAAGAAAUCAACCGAGAUUCCCCCAGUAGCGGCGAGCGAACGGGGAGGAGCCCAGAGCCUGAAUCAGCAUGUGUGUUAGUGGAAGCGUCUGGAAAGGCGCGCGAUACAGGGUGACAGCCCCGUACACAAAAGCGCAUGUGC
rnacentral:rRNA from 1 species